rnacentral:rRNA from 1 species
AGGUUCGAUCGAAGGAACAAUCAGGAUAUAUCGAAUUGGGCAAACAAACACCGUGCAUGGAUAGAAAUUUGGAAUCAAAGAGAUACGUUAGUGCAAUCAGAGAAUAGACCUCACAAUCAGUCAGCAUAUCAGAAGUAUCAAGUGUGGUAUGCGGAUCGUUACCGGUUAAAGCUAAAGCCUGGUUGGACUCACGAGGAGUGGUCGGAGUUGGUGUCUGAAGACCCGGAGACUGCAGAAGGUUAUCAUACCUUCAACACGGCUAUGAGAGACACCAGAGGGGCUCACGUUGACUAUGCACCGAUGCAUGACGAAAUGGUAGUCUGUUUGACCUAUUCUAACAAGCUUGCAUGCAUCAUGUUGUCUUCUUUCAAAUACAUAAGUUUGGUUUGUUCAUGA